AUUGAACGCUGGCGGCAUGCUUUACACAUGCAAGUCGAACGGCAGCGCGGGCUUCGGCCUGGCGGCGAGUGGCGAACGGGUGAGUAAUACAUCGGAACGUGCCCAGUAGUGGGGGAUAGCUUGGCGAAAGCCGGAUUAAUACCGCAUACGACCUGAGGGUGAAAGCGGGGGAUCUUCGGACCUCGCGCUAUUGGAGCGGCCGAUAGCAGAUUAGCUAGUUGGUGGGGUAAAGGCCUACCAAGGCGACGAUCUGUAGCUGGUCUGAGAGGACGACCAGCCACACUGGGACUGAGACACGGCCCAGACUCCUACGGGAGGCAGCAGUGGGGAAUUUUGGACAAUGGGCGAAAGCCUGAUCCAGCAAUGCCGCGUGUGUGAUGAAGGCCUUCGGGUUGUAAAGCACUUUUGGCGGGAACGAAAAGGACUGUGCCAAUACCACGGUUCGAUGACGGUACCCGCAGAAUAAGCACCGGCUAACUACGUG
rnacentral:rRNA from 1 species